GCCGAUGUAGCUCAGCUGGUAGAGCAACGCAUUCGUAAUGCGUAGGUCGUCGGUUCGAGUCCGACUAUCGGCUCCA
rnacentral:tRNA from 1 species